rnacentral:tRNA from 1 species
GCGCCGGUCUGGGCAAGGAACUGGCGGUGGCGCUGGUGCCGCCGCUGCUGCUGAUCGUGGCCGUGCUCGGCUCG